rnacentral:lncRNA from 1 species
CUCAGGAGGGCCAGAGCAAGUUUUGAGCUGCUCUGUGGCCAGGGUGGGCUCAUUCAUCCCUGCAUUCCAACUCCCAGCCCUGUUCAGAAACAUCUAUUGAAUGAGCACAUGGAUGACAACAUGAAUGAAAUGACAGUAUAUUGUCCCAUUCCUGGGGUAUAUGAAAAACAGAGGGAAAGGAAUUCCAAGAUACUCCUUCACCGUUCCAGCCUGCCCUGUUCCACUCCAGGCCUCGCGACUGCACUCCUCCAGCAGUUACUAGUAUAAAGAUGCAAAGUCCAGGCAAAACAACUCUCAGUUCUGAAGGAACAAUAAGAAACGGUGAUUAAAGGAAAUACAUGAGUUUGUGGAAAAUUACUGUUCUGUCUGUUUCAUCUGCCUAUUUUA